GAAUUUUGGACAAUGGGCGCAAGCCUGAUCCAGCAAUGCCGCGUGAGUGAAGAAGGCCUUCGGGUUGUAAAGCUCUUUUGUCAGGGAAGAAACGGCGCCGGCUAAUAUCCGGCGCUAAUGACGGUACCUGAAGAAUAAGCACCGGCUAACUACGUGCCAGCAGCCGCGGUAAUACAGAGGGUGCGAGCGUUAAUCGGAAUUACUGGGCGUAAAGCGCACGUAGGUGGCGACGUAAGUCGGGUGUGAAAGCCCCGGGCUCAACCUGGGAAUUGCAUUCGAGACUGCAUUGCUGGAGUACGGAAGAGGAGGGCGGAAUUCCCGGUGUAGCGGUGAAAUGCGUAGAUAUCGGGAGGAACAUCAGUGGCGAAGGCGGCCCUCUGGUCCAGUACUGACACUCAAGUGCGAAAGCGUGGGGAGCAAACAGG
rnacentral:rRNA from 1 species